rnacentral:rRNA from 1 species
UACGGAGGGUGCAAGCGUUGUCCGGAUUUAUUGGGUUUAAAGGGUGCGUAGGCGGGUCCUUAAGUCAGUGGUGAAAGCCGGCAGCUCAACUGUCGAACUGCCAUUGAUACUGGGGACCUUGAGUACAGAUGAGGUAGGCGGAAUUUAUGGUGUAGCGGUGAAAUGCAUAGAUACCAUAAAGAACACCGAUAGCGAAGGCAGCUUACUAAACUGUAACUGACGCUGAGGCACGAAAGCAUGGGGAUCGAAC